rnacentral:rRNA from 1 species
GACGAACGCUGGCGGCGUGCUUAACACAUGCAAGUCGAACGGUAAGGCUCCAGCUUGCUGGGGUACACGAGUGGCGAACGGGUGAGUAACACGUGGGUGACCUGCCCUGCACUUCGGGAUAAGCCUGGGAAACUGGGUCUAAUACCGGAUAGGACCGCACCGUGAGGGUGUGGUGGAAAGUUUUUUCGGUGUGGGAUGGGCCCGCGGCCUAUCAGCUUGUUGGUGGGGUAAUGGCCUACCAAGGCGGCGACGGGUAGCCGGCCUGAGAGGGUGGACGGCCACAUUGGGACUGAGACACGGCCCAGACUCCUACGGGAGGCAGCAGUGGGGAAUAUUGCACAAUGGGCGGAAGCCUGAUGCAGCGACGCCGCGUGGGGGAUGACGGCCUUCGGGUUGUAAACUCCUUUCAGCAUCGACGAAGGGUUUCUGACGGUAGAUGGAGAAGAAGCACCGGCUAACUACGUGCCAGCAGCCGCGGUAAUACGUAGGGUGCGAGCGUUGUCCGGAAUUACUGGGCGUAAAGAGCUCGUAGGUGGUUUGUCGCGUCGUCUGUGAAAUUCCGGGGCUUAACUCCGGGCGUGCAGGCGAUACGGGCAUAACUUGAGUACUGUAGGGGAGACUGGAAUUCCUGGUGUAGCGGUGAAAUGCGCAGAUAUCAGGAGGAACACCGGUGGCGAAGGCGGGUCUCUGGGCAGUAACUGACGCUGAGGAGCGAAAGCAUGGGGAGCGAACAGGAUUAGAUACCCUGGUAGUCCAUGCCGUAAACGGUGGGCGCUAGGUGUGGGUUUCCUUCCACGGGAUCCGUGCCGUAGCUAACGCAUUAAGCGCCCCGCCUGGGGAGUACGGCCGCAAGGCUAAAACUCAAAGGAAUUGACGGGGGCCCGCACAAGCGGCGGAGCAUGUGGAUUAAUUCGAUGCAACGCGAAGAACCUUACCUGGGCUUGACAUAUACAGGAUCGCGCCAGAGAUGGUGUUUCCCUUGUGGCUUGUAUACAGGUGGUGCAUGGUUGUCGUCAGCUCGUGUCGUGAGAUGUUGGGUUAAGUCCCGCAACGAGCGCAACCCUUGUCUUAUGUUGCCAGCACGUUGUGGUGGGGACUCGUAAGAAACUGCCGGGGUUAACUCGGAGGAAGGUGGGGAUGACGUCAAAUCAUCAUGCCCCUUAUGUCCAGGGCUUCACACAUGCUACAAUGGUCGGUACAGUGGGUUGCCAGUCCGUGAGGGCGAGCUAAUCCCGCAAAGCCGGUCUCAGUUCGGAUCGGGGUCUGCAACUCGACCCCGUGAAGUCGGAGUCGCUAGUAAUCGCAGAUCAGCAACGCUGCGGUGAAUACGUUCCCGGGCCU